CUUCAAAAUGAAAUAAUUCUGGCAGACACAGAGGCUAAUGAUGAUCAGUCAAAUGAGGCAGUGAAUCACCUGAUUGCAAUCACAUCUGAGCUAGAGCAAUGGCAAGAAAUGGAACCAAAAUUGCUGACAACAAAUCCUGAAGUCUUACUAGUGGUUGGUAAAGAAGAGUUGCAGAGUCUCAACAGUCAACACUAAAAUGGUCCUGUCAUGCUCACAAGCAAAGCUGGAUGCCCAGAAAAAGAUUUUGAAAAGGGAGCAGACAUGGCAAGCAGAGAAGAAAGAAGCAUUGAAUGCAGUGUGUGAGAAAAUCAGCAGAUUACAGCGUGAAAACGAGAAACCAGAGCACAGGUUGUUAGUUUUAUGCUGGCAUUAAAAAUCAAAUUUUUACAUCUGCUUAAAGGGAUAUUUACCCAAGAAUUAAAAAUUGGCAUAAUUUAUGUACUCCUCAU